rnacentral:rRNA from 1 species
CCUACGGGAGGCAGCAGUGGGGGAUAUUGCACAAUGGGGGGAACCCUGAUGCAGCGACGCCGCGUGGGUGAAGGAGUGCUUCGGCAUGUAAAGCCCUAUCGGCAGGGAAGAAGCAAGACGGUACCUGACUACGAAGCCCCGGCUAACUACGUGCCAGCAGCCGCGGUAAUACGUAGGGGGCGAGCGUUAUCCGGAUUCACUGGGGGUAAAGGGAGCGUAGACGGCCAAGCAAGCCGCGGGGGAAAGCCCGGGCCCCAACCCCGGGACUGCCCUUGGAACUGCAUGGCUGGAGGGCGGGAGGGGCAGGCGGAAUGCCUGGUGUAGCGGUGAAAUGCGUAGAUAUCAGGAGGAACACCGGCGGCGAAGGCGGCCUGCUGGACCGCGACUGACGUUGAGGCUCGAAAGCGUGGGGAGCGAACAGGAUUAGAUACCCUGGUAGUC